GCGGUGGAGCAUGUGGUUAAUUCGACGCAACGCGAAGAACUUACCUGGGCUUGACAUCCCGAUCGCACCUUAUGGAAACAUAGGGGUCAGUUCGGCUGGAUCGGUGACAGGUGCUGCAUGGCUGUCGUCAGCUCGUGUCGUGAGAUGUUGGGUUAAGUCCCGCAACGAGCGCAACCCUUGUCCUUAGUUGCCAGCAUCCAGUUGGGCACUCUAAGGAGACUGCCGGUGUCAAACCGGAGGAAGGUGGGGAUGACGUCAAGUCCUCAUGGCCCUUAUGUCCAGGGCUACACACGUGCUACAAUGGCCGGUACAAAGGGGCGCAAGACCGCGAGGUGGAGCAAAUCCCAAAAAACCGGUCUCAGUUCGGAUUGGGGUCUGCAACUCGACCCCAUGAAGUCGGAGUCGCUAGUAAUCGCAGAUCAGCAACGCUGCGGUGAAUACGUUCCCGGGCCUU
rnacentral:rRNA from 1 species